AUUUGAGCCAAUAUUUUCCUUUUCACAAUAUUCCACAAUUGUGUUUUAUCUAUUAUUAUUCUUGAACCCCAUCCAAGCGAGUAAACAUCCAGACGAUGAAUUUGUUGUUUAAAAAAAAAACAAGUAUUAGUGAAAUGGUAAUGAUGUUGUACGUCAUUGGAAAUUAGGGUUCUUGAUACUAAAUCAGCUACCUUGUCAUCAAUGUUGCACAUAGAAGAAAGUGUAUGCUCAUCCUUCCAUAUGUUCCAUUUUUUCUAAAACUCCCCCUCCUUUAUUUUUUGAAAGUUUUGAAACAUGAUAUUGAUUAUUAUUAUAGUUUUUUUUUUUUUUGGACAAAAUUAUUAUAGUUGUUAACAAGUAAAAUUUAAAUUAAAUAUGUAAGUGUAACAUACCUUUUUUUUUUUUAAUCAAAGUAUGCAUUAAGAUGCUUUCUUUUCAACAGCUUGCAGAGCUGUAAGUUAUCACUUUGUUCUAAUUUUCUUGUAUAUGAA
rnacentral:lncRNA from 1 species